UACAGAGGGGGCAAGCGUUGUUCGGAAUUACUGGGCGUAAAGGGCGCGUAGGUGGCCUUCUAAGUUGAACGUGAAAUCCCUGGGCUCAACCCAGGAACUGCGUCCAAGACUGGGAGGCUUGAAUCCGGGAGAGGGAUGCGGAAUUCCAGGUGUAGCGGUGAAAUGCGUAGAUAUCUGGAGGAACACCUGGGGCGAAGGCGGCCAGCUGGGCCGUCCCUGACGCUGAGGCGCGAAGGCGUGGGGAGCGAACGGG
rnacentral:rRNA from 1 species